CCUACGGGAGGCAGCAGUGGGGAAUUUUCCGCAAUGGGCGAAAGCCUGACGGAGCAAGACCGCGUGGGGGAGGAAGGUUCUUGGAUUGUCAACCCCUUUUCUCAAGGAAGAAUACAAUGACGGUACUUGAGGAAUAAGCAUCGGCUAACUCCGUGCCAGCAGCCGCGGUAAUACGGAGGAUGCAAGCGUUAUCCGGAAUGAUUGGGCGUAAAGAGUCCGUAGGUGGCUCCUCAAGUCUAUUGUUAAAGCGCGAGGCUUAACCUCGUUCAGGCCGUAGAAACUGAGGAGCUCGAGAGCAGUAGGGGCAGAAGGAAUUCCUGGUGUAGCGGUGAAAUGCGUAGAGAUCAGGAAGAACACCGGUGGCGAAAGCGUUCUGCUGGGCUGCAUUCUGACACUGAGGGACGAAAGCUAGGGGAGCGAAUGGGAUUAGAUACCCCUGUAGUC
rnacentral:rRNA from 1 species